rnacentral:rRNA from 1 species
GACGAACGCUGGCGGCACGCUUAACACAUGCAAGUCGAACGAGAGAAGAGAAGCUUGCUUUUCUGAUCUAGUGGCGGACGGGUGAGUAACACGUGAGCAAUCUGCCUUUCAGAGGGGGAUACCGAUUGGAAACGAUCGUUAAUACCGCAUAACAUAAUUGAACCGCAUGAUUUGAUUAUCAAAGAUUUAUCGCUGAAAGAUGAGCUCGCGUCUGAUUAGCUAGUUGGUAAGGUAACGGCUUACCAAGGCGACGAUCAGUAGCCGGACUGAGAGGUUGAUCGGCCACAUUGGGACUGAGACACGGCCCAGACUCCUACGGGAGGCAGCAGUGGGGAAUAUUGCACAAUGGAGGAAACUCUGAUGCAGCGAUGCCGCGUGAGGGAAGAAGGUUUUAGGAUUGUAAACCUCUGUCUCCAGGGACGAAAAAAGACGGUACCUGAGGAGGAAGCUCCGGCUAACUACGUG